rnacentral:sRNA from 1 species
AAAGGUGGCUAGCGUUCCUGGUCCUGACUUGGUUGUGUCGAUCUCUCUGCAGAGUUUCCCUACAUAUACCCUGGUGGUUCAGGCUGCUGACCUUCAAGGUGAGGGGUUAAGCACAACAGCGACAGCUGUGAUCACAGUCACGGACACCAACGAUAACCCUCCGGUCUUCAAUCCCACCACGUACAAGGGUCAGGUGCCUGAGAACGAGGCUAACGUCGUAAUCACCACACUGAAAGUGACUGAUGCUGAUGCCCCCAGUACCCCAGCAUGGGAGGCUGUAUA